UUGAAUUGAGAUCAAUAGUUUAUUCAUUAGAUAUUGAGGUUUAAAUCUGUCAUAGGAAUUACUAGGAUUUGGAUUAGGGUUUGGCUAGGGUUCGGUUUAGGGUUUGGAUUAGGGUUUAGGGUUUUAUUAGGGUUUGGCUAGGAUUUGGUUUAGGAUUUGGAUUAGGAUUUGAAUUAGGGUUUAGGAUUUGGAUAGGAUUUGAUUUAGGAUUUGGAUUAGGGUUUAGGAUUUGGAUAGGAUUUGAUUUAGGAUUUGGAUUAGGGUUUGGAUUAGGGUUUGGAUUAGGAUUUGGUUAGGAUUUGAUUUAAGAUUUGAUUUAGGAAUUAGAAUUUGGAUUAGAGUUUAGGGUUGGAUUAGAAUUUUGGAUUUAGUUAGGAUUUGAUUUAGGAUUUAGAUUAAAGUUUGGACUAGGGUUUGGUUAGGUUUGAUUUAAGAUUUGGUUUAGGGUUUAGAAUUUGGAUUAGAGUUUAGGGUUGGAUUAGGGUUUGGAUUAGGGUUUAGGAUCUGGUUAGGAUUUGAUUUAAGAUUUGAAUUAGGAUUUGGUUAGGAUUUGAUUUAAGAUUUGGUUUAGGAUUUAGGGUUGGAUUAGGAUUUGGUUUAGGGUUUGAUUUAGGGUUUUUUUUAGGGUUUAGGGUUUGAAUAGGAUUUAAUUUAAGAUUUGUUUAGGAUUUGACUUACGAUUUAGGAAUUAUUAGGGUUUAAGAUUUAAUUAAGUUUGAUCUAAAGUUGAGUGAAAUUCAAUAGGAUUUUAACUAGAAUUAAAUUAAGGUUGAAUUGACAUAUAUUUGAGUAAAAUUUGUAAUCAUUCUAAUAUUUCUUUAAGAAUUUUAUUGUUUGUUUGAAAUUUCUUUGAGUUGUUUUGAAUUUGAUUACGUUUAUUUACUAUUAUUAUAGUCUAAUUAGAGCAUUGUUAGUAUUCUAUUUAGGA
rnacentral:lncRNA from 1 species